rnacentral:rRNA from 1 species
GAUUCCCCUAGUAACUGCGAGUGAAGCGGGAAAAGCUCAAAUUUAAAAUCUGGUGGUCUUUUGGCCGUCCGAGUUGUAAUCUAGAGAAGUGUUAUCCGCGCUGGACCGUGUACAAGUCUCCUGGAAUGGAGCAUCAUAGAGGGUGAGAAUCCCGUCUUUGACAUGGACUGCCAGGGCUUUUGUGAUGCGCUCUCAAAGAGUCGAGUUGUUUGGGAAUGCAGCUCAAAAUGGGUGGUAAAUUCCAUCUAAAGCUAAAUAUUGGCGAGAGACCGAUAGCGAACAAGUACCGUGAGGGAAAGAUGAAAAGAACUUUGGAAAGAGAGUUAAACAGUACGUGAAAUUGCUGAAAGGGAAACGCUUGAAGUCAGUCGCGUCAUCCAGGGAUCAACCUUGCUUUUGCUUGGUGCACUUUCUGGUUUGAUGGGUCAGCAUCAAUUUUGACCAUUGGAAAAAGGUCAAGGGAAUGUGGCAUCUUUGGAUGUGUUUAUAGCCCUUGGUCACAUACAAUGGUUUGGGAUUGAGGAACUCAGCACGCCGCAAGGCCGGGUUUAAAACCACGUACGUGCUUAGGAUGUUGACAUAUAUAAUGGCUUUAAUCGACCCGUCUUGAAACACGGACCAAGGAGUCUAACAUGCCUGCGAGUGUUUGGGUGGAAAACCCGAGCGCGUAAUGAAAGUGAAAAGUUGAGAUCCCUGUCGUGGGGAGCAUCGACGCCCGGACCAGACCUUUUGUGACGGUUCCGCGGUGGAGCAUGUAUGUUGGGACCCGAAAGAUGGUGAACUAUGCCUGAAUAGGGUGAAUCCAGAGGAAACUCUGGUGGAGGCUCGUAGCGAUUCUGACGUGCAAAUCGAUCGUCAAAUUUGGGUAUAGGGGCGAAAGACUAAUCGAACCAUCUAGUAGCUGGUCCUGCGAGU